rnacentral:rRNA from 3 species
GGACUACACGGGUAUCUAAUCCCGUUUGCUCCCCUGGCUUUCGCGCCUCAGCGUCAGAUGUGGUCCAGUAUGCCGCCUUCGCCACCGGAGUUCCUAUCGAUAUCAACGCAUUUCACCGCUCCACCGAUAGUUCCGCAUACCCCUACCACCCUCGAGACUCACAGUAUCCGAGGCAGUUCCACAGUUGAGCUGUGGGAUUUCACCCCGGACUUGCAAAUCCGCCUACGCGCCCUUUAAGCCCAGUGAUUCCGAACAACGUUCGCUCGGUUCGUCUUACCGCGGCGGCUGGCAC